rnacentral:rRNA from 1 species
AACGAACGCUGGCGGCAGGCCUAACACAUGCAAGUCGAACGCUCGUAGCAAUACGAGAGUGGCAGACGGGUGAGUAACACGUGGGAACCUUCCCUAUGGUUCGGAAUAGCUCAGGGAAACUUGGGGUAAUACCGGAUAAGCCCUUCGGGGGAAAGAUUUAUCGCCAUUGGAUGGGCCCGCGUCGGAUUAGCUAGUUGGUGAGGUAACGGCUCACCAAGGCAACGAUCCGUAGCUGGUCUGAGAGGAUGAUCAGCCACACUGGGACUGAGACACGGCCCAGACUCCUACCGGAGGCAGCAGUGGGGAAUCUUGCGCAAUGGGCGAAAGCCUGACGCAGCGACGCCGCGUGAGGGAUGACGGCCUUGG